CAUAUUAUUAUAUAUAUUAUUAUAUACAUUAUAUAUAUUAUUUAGCCAUACAAAAGAAAAUAAAUCUUGCUAUUUGUGACAAUACAGCUGACCCUGAGGACGUUAAGCUAAGUGAACACAACCAAAGGCAGUCAAGCAGAGCAUGCCCUGACUCCUGUGCAAUUGAAGGACGCAGGAAACCUACUGUUGGGAAGUUAAUUUUAGGAGGAGAACUUGUGACAACUAAGGAAAGAAAAGGCCCAAAUCCAUGCAAUUAGGAAUGAAAAGGGUGAAAUGACAACAGACCCAGCAGAAAUCCAGAGGAUCAUCAAUACCU
rnacentral:lncRNA from 1 species